GCGAGAGCCUGAACCAGCCAAGUGGCGUGGAGGACGACGGCCCUACGGGUUGUAAACUCCUUUUGGAGGGGAAUAAAGCGGCCCACGCGUGGGCUUUUGCAUGUACCCUCCGAAUAAGCAUCGGCUAACUCCGUG
rnacentral:rRNA from 1 species